rnacentral:rRNA from 1 species
CUACGGGAGGCAGCAGUGAGGAAUAUUGGACAAUGGUCGAAAGACUGAUCCAGCCAUGCCGCGUGCAGGAUGAAUGCCCUAUGGGUUGUAAACUGCUUUUAUACGGGAAGAACACCAACCACGUGUGGGUGACUGACGGUACCGUAAGAAUAAGGACCGGCUAACUCCGUGCCAGCAGCCGCGGUAAUACGGAGGGUCCAAGCGUUAUCCGGAAUCAUUGGGUUUAAAGGGUCCGUAGGCGGGCUAUUAAGUCAGAGGUGAAAGUUUGCAGCUCAACUGUAAAAUUGCCUUUGAUACUGGUAGUCUUGAGUUAUAGUGAAGUGGUUAGAAUAUGUGGUGUAGCGGUGAAAUGCAUAGAUAUCACAUAGAAUACCAAUUGCGAAGGCAGAUCACUAACUAUAUACUGACGCUGAUGGACGAAAGCGUGGGGAGCGAACGGGAUUAGAUACCCCGGUAGUCCACGCCGUAAACGAUGGAUACUAGCUGUUGGAUUUUUUCAGUGGCUAAGCGAAAGUGAUAAGUAUCCCACCUGGGGAGUACGUUCGCAAGAAUGAAACUCAAAG